rfam:Citrobacter koseri ATCC BAA-895, complete genome.
AUAAUAGAUUUCAGAAUCAGGCCGGGGCGUUUACUCGCCCCGUGUACUCGGUCGUACAUCCAGCCGGUUGCCUGAUUCCUUGCAUUGAAGCGAUGUACGGAGUUUAUAGAGC